AGUGAACGCUGGCGGCAUGCCUAACACAUGCAAGUCGAACGGCAGCUCAGUAAGUGCUGGCUCUUACGUGUGGCGAGUGGCGGACGGGUGAGGUAUACUCCGGAUUCUACUUUUUCGCGGGGGCUAACGUAGGAAGACUUACGCUAAUACCGCAUACGACCUCCGGGUGUAAGCAGGCGAUCUUCUGACCUUUCGCUGUGGAAUGAGCCGAUGUCGGAUGAGAUAGUUAGCGGGGUUAAGGCCCACCAAGGCCACGAUCCGUAGCUGGUCUGAGAGGGUGAUCAGCUAGACUGGAAGUGAGACACGGUCCAGACACCUACGGGAGGCAGCAGUGGGGAAUAUUGGACAAUGGGCGCGAGCCUGAUCCAGCCAUACCGCGGGGAGGCAGAAGGACUUCGGGUUGUAAAGCCAUUUUGUUGGGAGAGAAAAGCAGCAGGUUAAUCCGCCGCUGUUCUGACGGUACCCAAAGAAUAAGCACCGGCUAACUUCGUG
rnacentral:rRNA from 1 species